GUAUAGAACCUACCUUAUAUUGGGGGAUAGCCCAGAGAAAUUUGGAUUAAUACCCCAUAGUAUGCUGAAGUGGCAUCCUUUAGUAUUAAAGAUUUAUCGAUAUAAGAUGGCUAUGCGUUCUAUUAGCUAGUUGGUAUGGUAACGGCAUACCAAGGCUACGAUAGAUAGGGGUCCUGAGAGGGAGAUCCCCCACACUGGUACUGAGACACGGACCAGACUCCUACGGGAGGCAGCAGUGAGGAAUAUUGGACAAUGGAGGCAACUCUGAUCCAGCCAUGCCGCGUGCAGGAAGACUGCCCUAUGGGUUGUAAACUACUUUUAUAGAGGAAGAAACCCCCCGACGUGUCGGGUCUGACGGUACUCUACGAAUAAGGAUCGGCUAACUCCGUGCCAGCAGCCGCGGUAAUACGGAGGAUCCAAGCGUUAUCCGGAAUCAUUGGGUUUAAAGGGUCCGUAGCGGAUUUGUAAGUCAGAGGUGAAAGUUUGCGGCUCAACCGUAAAAUUGC
rnacentral:rRNA from 1 species